rnacentral:rRNA from 1 species
AGGCGUGAUGACGAGGCACUACGGUGCUGAAGCAACAAAUGCCCUGCUUCCAGGAAAAGCCUCUAAGCAUCAGGUAACAUCAAAUCGUACCCCAAACCGACACAGGUGGUCAGGUAGAGAAUACCAAGGCGCUUGAGAGAACUCGGGUGAAGGAACUAGGCAAAAUGGUGCCGUAACUUCGGGAGAAGGCACGCUGAUAUGUAGGUGAAGUCCCUCGCGGAUGGAGCUGAAAUCAGUCGAAGAUACCAGCUGGCUGCAACUGUUUAUUAAAAACACAGCACUGUGCAAACACGAAAGUGGACGUAUACGGUGUGACGCCUGCCCGGUGCCGGAAGGUUAAUUGAUGGGGUCAGCGCAAGCGAAGCUCUUGAUCGAAGCCCCGGUAAACGGCGGCCGUAACUAUAACGGUCCUAAGGUAGCGAAAUUCCUUGUCGGGUAAGUUCCGACCUGCACGAAUGGCGUAAUGAUGGCCAGGCUGUCUCCACCCGAGACUCAGUGAAAUUGAACUCGCUGUGAAGAUGCAGUGUACCCGCGGCAAGACGGAAAGACCCCGUGAACCUUUACUAUAGCUUGACACUGAACAUUGAGCCUUGAUGUGUAGGAUAGGUGGGAGGCUUUGAAGUGUGGACGCCAGUCUGCAUGGAGCCGACCUUGAAAUACCACCCUUUAAUGUUUGAUGUUCUAACGUGGACCCGUGAUCCGGGUUGCGGACAGUGUCUGGUGGGUAGUUUGACUGGGGCGGUCUCCUCCUAAAGAGUAACGGAGGAGCACGAAGGUUGGCUAAUCCUGGUCGGACAUCAGGAGGUUAGUGCAAUGGCAUAAGCCAGCUUGACUGCGAGCGUGACGGCGCGAGCAGGUGCGAAAGCAGGUCAUAGUGAUCCGGUGGUUCUGAAUGGAAGGGCCAUCGCUCAACGGAUAAAAGGUACUCCGGGGAUAACAGGCUGAUACCGCCCAAGAGUUCAUAUCGACGGCGGUGUUUGGCACCUCGAUGUCGGCUCAUCACAUCCUGGGGCUGAAGUAGGUCCCAAGGGUAUGGCUGUUCGCCAUUUAAAGUGGUACGCGAGCUGGGUUUAGAACGUCGUGAGACAGUUCGGUCCCUAUCUGCCGUGGGCGCUGGAGAACUGAGGGGGGCUGCUCCUAGUACGAGAGGACCGGAGUGGACGCAUCACUGGUGUUCGGGUUGUCAUGCCAAUGGCACUGCCCGGUAGCUAAAUGCGGAAGAGAUAAGUGCUGAAAGCAUCUAAGCACGAAACUUGCCCCGAGAUGAGUUCUCCCUGACCCUUUAAGGGUCCUGAAGGAACGUUGAAGACGACGACGUUGAUAGGCCGGGUGUGUAAGCGCAGCGAUGCGUUGAGCUAACCGGUACUAAUGAACCGUGAGGCUUAACCUU